CUUUAAUCGAUGUAGAACAAUUUGGAAAUAAUAGUGAGAAUGUUUUUUUCAUUUGGAAAUGUAAUAUUGCAUCGAAAAUUAAUAAAACAGGAAUGAAGUUAUUAUUGUUCAGGAGUCACGUGACGAGUCUUCCCCUUCCCAUCACUUACCCCAUUUACAUGUAAAAAAAGUGAGGUUAUGUCCCUCUCGCGAUCCUGAAUGUUCCCCUGUCACGUACCUUUAAACAAUCUUCUAAAAAUUAUGAAGAGGCAGACAGUGUUGGAGUGUUUCGUUGCUGAAAUCUCUAAACAUCAGAAGCCCAAAGCCCCCAGGAAAGGAAAAUCCAUGGAGAUGAAAUACUAAAAAAAAAACCCUCCCAAUUCCCUAAAAUCAGAACUAAAAAAGCUGGCGAAAUCUCCGAAAAAUGAAGAAACAGAUAACUGGCAGGAGACGUUCGAGCUCUCCAGUGGACGAAAUGGGCUGCCACAAAAGUGCUCGGACGAAAAAGCGAGUCUUUCAGAUUUUCGAUUCCAGUUGCUGCUAGAUCUUGUGUUGAUCAGUCAAACAAAGGAUUAGGUGACAUGCGCAGCUAUGGAGAGACUCCAAAAUUAUGGGUGUCCUCCCAUGGGUGGAUCUUCUGAUCAAGACUCCUGACAAUGUUCUUAGGAAAUUAAUUCAUCCUCCCGAAGUCCAGUAUAUUAAGAAAAAUCUCUAAAGUCGAAUUAGCUGAAAACACUCGAGGUUCACUGAGAAUUGAAGUUUUUGUAGCCAAUAGUUCGGGGGUACAAGUUUUCACACAAAAAUCACCUGAGAGAAUGCCGAGAUUGAACUCCGCCUCUCAGGAGCUUCAGAGGGAAACGAAGAGUUUUGGGAAUGCCCAUGGCUCCAAGAGCUGACAAAAAAUGCAGUCAUCCACAACGCCCUCCCCAUCGGGGGAGAGUAUUGAUCGUCAUAGGAUAUUACCGAGGUGUUUUCACUGUGACGAAUAUCUUCUAUAUGAGGAGAAAUAGCAAAAUUUUCAUAUGAUUUUUUUUAGUUCAUGGAAUUUUUCUUAACUGUCCCCACUCACGAGAUAUCCACCGACAACGGACCCUAGAUGCGUACUAAAUUGGAGGAGUUGAGUUGGAGUAAAACAAAUAACAGCAGAAAAAAAAUAGACGAAGAAGGCGCAGUUUAAGCAGGAGAGACCUAUGAACAAAAUCGAGGGUCAGACCAAAAGAAACUAACAAUAGAAAUUAAUAGAAAAAUCUGUACUUUAUUUUGUAAAUAAAAUCAUUUCAUAUCAA